AACGAACGCUGGCGGCAGGCUUAACACAUGCAAGUCGAGCGCCCCGCAAGGGGAGCGGCAGACGGGUGAGUAACGCGUGGGAAUCUACCCAUCUCUACGGAAUAACGCAUGGAAACGUGUGCUAAUACCGUAUACGUCCUUCGGGAGAAAGAUUUAUCGGAGAUGGAUGAGCCCGCGUUGGAUUAGCUAGUUGGUGGGGUAAAGGCCUACCAAGGCCACGAUCCAUAGCUGGUCUGAGCGGAUGAUCAGCCACACUGGGACUGAGACACGGCCCAGACUCCUACGGGAGGCAGCAGUGGGGAAUAUUGGACAAUGGGCGCAAGGCUGAUCCAGCCAUGCCGCGUGAGUGAUGAAGGCCCUAGGGUUGUAAAGCUCUUUCACCGGUGAAGAUAAUGACGGUAACCGGAGAAGAAGCCCCGGCUAACUUCGUGCCAGCCGCCGCCGUAACAC
rnacentral:rRNA from 1 species